GUCCCUGUUUUCACGAAGUGACGGAUAAGAGGAAAAUUUUCACUUUUUUCAAUUUUGAGUUUUUUGCAUUUUUGGACAUCUAUGACUUAUAUCUUGAACCUCAAAAAGUUUCAGAUCACAAUAAUGUCUAAUUACGUUGCUAUGACGACAUGACAUUCAAGAAAAUACCGGGUAAAAGGAUUUCUUGUUUUCACGAAGUGACGGAUAAGCAGCCGCCAAUACGUGAAAACAAACGAAUACGCUUUGCACUCAAGAGUUUUUUCACGAAGUGACGGAAGGCAAAUAUUUACAGUUUGGAACAGCCGAAGACCAUGAAAUGAUGCAGUAUAUACAAUAAGCGAUGUUUCAGAGAACAAAUGAGAGAAGUCCUGGAACUGGUACACUUGCUAUUUAACAAUGCUGAUGGUCAGAUACAAUUCCAGGUUAGAUCCAGGGGCCGACACGCUUGUCAGAUGGGUCAUUGAUGAUUCCCUGAACAUCGCAGAUAUGAUCUGAUUUGGUGACAUGACAGUGGAAUUGGUAGUGACUGGAUUUUUAUAGUGUGCCCUGGUUUUGAACUAUUGAAGUAACCAAACUAGAAACAUCUUCUGAGAACUCUGACUGCAAUUCUAAUGAUGAAACUCUGUCU